rnacentral:rRNA from 1 species
GACGAACGCUGGCGGCGUGCUUAACACAUGCAAGUCGAACGGAAAGGCCCUGCUUUUGUGGGGUGCUCGAGUGGCGAACGGGUGAGUAACACGUGAGUAACCUGCCCUUGACUUUGGGAUAACUUCAGGAAACUGGGGCUAAUACCGGAUAGGAGCUCCUGCUGCAUGGUGGGGGUUGGAAAGUUUCGGCGGUUGGGGAUGGACUCGCGGCUUAUCAGCUUGUUGGUGGAGUAGUGGCUUACCAAGGCUUUGACGGGUAGCCGGCCUGAGAGGGUGACCGGCCACAUUGGGACUGAGAUACGGCCCAGACUCCUACGGGAGGCAGCAGUGGGGAAUAUUGCACAAUGGGCGGAAGCCUGAUGCAGCAACGCCGCGUGCGGGAUGACGGCCUUCGGGUUGUAAACCGCUUUCGCCUGUGGCGAAGCGUGAGUGACGGUAAUGGGUAAAGAAGCACCGGCUAACUACGUG